rnacentral:rRNA from 1 species
AGCAGCCGCGGUAAUUCCAGCUCCAAUAGCGUAUAUUAAAGUUGUUGCAGUUAAAAAGCUCGUAGUUGAAUUUCGGGAUCAAUAUGUUGGUCGUGCCUCGGUACGUACUAGCAUAUUGGUUUCUCCUUUCUGAAGAACCAUGAUGUCAUUUAUUUGGUGUCGUGGGGAAUCAGGACUGUUACUUUGAAAAAUUAGAGUGUUUAAAGCAGGCUCACGCUUGAAUACAUUAGCAUGGAAUAAUGAAAUAGGACGUUUGAUUCUAUUUUGUUGGUUUCUAGGAUCGACGUAAUGAUUAAUAGGGAUAGUUGGGGGCAUUAGUAUUCAAUUGUCAGAGGUGAAAUUCUUGGAUUUAUUGAAGACUAACUACUGCGAAAGCAUUUGCCAAGGAUGUUUUCAUUAAUCAAGAACGAAAGUUAGGGGAUCGAAGACGAUCAGAUACCGUCGUAGUCUUAACCAUAAACUAUGCCGACUAGGAUCGG